GAUGAAGAACAUAGCAAAAUGCGAUACUUGGUGUGAAUUGCAGAAUCCCGUGAACCAUCGAGUUUUUGAACGCAAGUUGCGCCCGAAGCCUUUUGGCCGAGGGCACGUCUGCCUGGGCGUCACGCAUCGCGUCGCCCCCCACAAUUCUCCGUAAAAGGAACAUGUGUUUUGGGGGCGGAUAUUGGUCUCCCGUGCUCAUGGCGUGGUUGGCCGAAAUAGGAGUCCUUUCGAUGGACGCACGAACUAGUGGUGGUCGUAAAAACCCUCGUCUUUUGUUUCGUGCUGUUGCUCGCAAGGUAAACUCUUUAAAAACCCCAAUGUGUCGUCUCUUGACGACGCUUCGACCGCGACCCCAGGUCAGGCGGGACUACCCGCUGAGUUUAAGCAUAUCAAUAAGCGGAGGA
rnacentral:misc_RNA from 1 species